CAUCAACAUCGGCGGCCGCCAGUACAUCUACGUUCAACACAAUCUCAUCGAUCUCAAUUUCUUCAGAGUCAUUGCCUCCCACAACUGUUUUUUGUUUCUCUACAGACGUGGGUCUGUUCAUUAGCUUCGUUGGCUUCGCUGUUGUUGUUGGUCUGUUUGUUGGCUUCACGACACCGGGGGCAAGUUGCUGGACGAGUUGUAGCCUGAUCAAUGGCCAGUGGAGGUUGGGAACACUGCAAUCUCCGAUGCAUGGGUGUUGCCCUGAGCGUGGCCGCUGGGUUGCUUGGUGCUUGCAUGCCUGAGAUAGGUGCAAGGAUCUUUGCAAUCGGUGGGCCAUGUACUGAAGGACCUGGAAUGAUUAUUUCCAAGGAUUUGUCAGAGCCAGUUAGAUCGCAAAAGGAUCUUGACAAGGAUGCGGCUCCUCACUUGCAGAAAGCUGUCAAAUUUUACGAUGGUCUUGCCAAGCAGUUGGUCAGUCAAGGCCACAUGUUAGAUGUUUUCGCAUCUGCUCUUGAUCAGGUUUGCAUGGUUUAGCAAUUUAUGCUUUCGUUUGCAUCAAGGAUUUUUUUUGGUUGGGAUGAUUGAUUCUCCGUGUUCGUGGUGGGUGAGGUUGCUAUAGGUUAGUUCUUUCCUAGAGAAGGUUGCUACUCAGAUUAGCAGCAGUGUUGAUUUGUGAAUUUACAGGCAUGGUUUCAGAGAAUCCAAUGGUUUUCUUGAAUUUAUGGUGAGUGAUCGAUUAGUGAUCGAAUUGAUUCCAAAUCCUAAUCAAAAUUUGCCCGCUGCCUGCAGAUCAGAGAGGAUGAGAAUUGAUUUUCUGAGUGGUUAACGAGCCAUUAGCAUCACUCAUGGCACCUCUCAUGCAUAAAUGCUCUUGAUGCUUCUCUCUGGUGAGUAUUUGCUAAUCAUUGAUGAGACCAAAAAUGAAUUAACGAGGAUCUUGACUUGCAUAUGCAUACAGAUACUUAUAUGCCUCUUGUUUGAUGCAAGAAUAAACUCAGCUUUGCAAAAUAUUUCUUUUAGCAUUGUUAGUUGUUCAUGAAACUGCUUCAUAAUAAAAUCAUUUAUCUCCUUUUCCUCUUUAGGCACUUGAAGUAUUUUUUAUUUUUCUCAAUCAAUUAUGGAUGCAAGUCUUUGUAACACACUGAUCAGUGAAAUUUGUAGAUGCACCUGAUCGGUUGUCCGUUUGAAUAAAUUUUGUUAGGAAUUUUUUUGUGCCUCCUGUUCAAAGUGAUAGAUGAGUUUUUUAUUUUCCCCAUGCCACUAACCACAUAGCUGAAGUUCUUGAUAUUUUUGUUUGACUUAAACUAUAUCUGGUGCUUGAUGUAUAUAGUCCUGACCUCUGUAGAAAAAAAAAAGUGCACCUUGGUUUGCAGAUCAGCUAUGUUGCUGCUAGGUAUGUGAGGCUUGGAUACAGAUUGACAUUUUUAAGUAUGCUUCUUUGUCCCUUUUUCAUUUGCCUCAUUGCUAUUUAUGUGAAGCUUAAUUGACAUUUCAUAGCUUAAUUAUAGUUAUGAUUAUCCAUAUAGCAGAGAAAAACUAUGUUCACAUUUCUCAAUUUUGGAUCACAUUCCCCUUGAAGGUGAAAUCUGUUGUAAAUGCAAUACAAUGAAAAACAAAAUUAAAGAAUUUGUGAUUGCUCAUUUGCGCAUAGGUGCCUGUAAAUGGUUGUCCUGCAGAAGCUCUGUUAAACUAAAAGAUUCUAGAGGGUUGGAGAAAUGCCUCCUGGUUCUCAUACUGCUGACGAUGGGCUAUGUGGAGUUCAAGCUAAAGGGUGAAGCUGAAGGCAACGCAAUAUACCAGAACAAGACGCUUGAGAAAUGGGAUCGGUAGCAACAAGGACACGAGGGCUGGAGGGGAGGAGCAACCAGAUGGAGGCGCGCGGUCAAGCAAUCCCCUUCUGUUCAUGACCAAAGGCUAGGCGUCCGAACAAGCAAACUGAGCUGUAAAGGUGUCCGUUACUAGGUUCCUCGUGGGUUGAGCACUUGAGCCUGAUGAGGGCUCUUACCACUCCAUAGUCAACUUUUUUUUUUACAAUCUUUUAAGCAUUUUCUUUUGCAGCAACAAUAUCUUCCUUCCUUGCCCGUCUGGAGAUGUAACAAAAAUAGAAACUAUUUUAGCUCCCCAUACUUAACUGCGUGUAACUAUAUACAUUCAAAACUCAUAUAAACAAGUUAUGAAAAUAUUUAUGAUUGUAACUAGGAUGGAAAUAUUUGAAUUAA